rnacentral:rRNA from 1 species
CGUCUAGGCGGCGGGGCAAGUCCCACGUGAAAGCUCCCGGCUCAACUGGGAGAGUGCGUGGGAAACUGCCUGGCUAGAGACUCGGAGAGGGGUGUGGAAUUCCCGGUGGAGUGGUGAAAUGCGUUGAGAUCGGGAGGAACACCAGUGGCGAAGGCGGCACCCUGGCCGAGGUCUGACGCUGAAGCGCGACAGCGUGGGGAGCGAACG